rnacentral:rRNA from 1 species
AACGAACGCUGGCGGCAGGCUUAACACAUGCAAGUCGAGCGCAUCCUUCGGGGUGAGCGGCGGACGGGUGAGUAACGCGUGGGAACGUGCCCUCUUCUACGGAAUAGCCUCGGGAAACUGAGAGUAAUGCCGUAUACGCCCGCAAGGGGAAAGAUUUAUCGGAGGAGGAUCGGCCCGCGUUGGAUUAGGUAGUUGGUGGGGUAACGGCCUACCAAGCCGACGAUCCAUAGCUGGUUUGAGAGGAUGAUCAGCCACACUGGGACUGAGACACGGCCCAGACUCCUACGGGAGGCAGCAGUGGGGAAUCUUGGACAAUGGGGGCAACCCUGAUCCAGCCAUGCUGCGUGAUCGAUGAAGGCCUUAGGGUUGUAAAGAUCUUUCAGCUGGGAAUAUAAUGACGGUACCAGCAGAAGAAGCCCCGGCUAACUCCGUG